AACAAAAAGAAAAUUUCUUCUCUCCAAAGAAAGAGAUGAUGCGGCAUCUUCGAGCAUAGAGACAUUGAUUUUGCAAAGAUCACAACUGAGAAGACGUAUGCAGAUCGUAGUGAAAAGCGAACGGAACACCGAUCAAGCAAAUACACUAACGGUAUAAGCUCUGAUUAUAAAAACCCAACUUCAUACAAACCGGAUUCAGAGGAAAAGAUGAACUCAGAACAUCCAAGAGGAUUUGAUCUAGUUGGAAUAACAUGCAAAGAUAUGGUAGUCGCAUUGAUGAAUCUGUUUCUCUCGGUCAGAAGUUAUAGUCAAGCGAUCAAAGGAGCAAGGAUAAAAUCUUUUGAUUAAGCAGAUGAUACUGAAAUGAUAAAGUUCUGAAAUUCUGUUAUGGUUUGUACGUAUAGGAGCUGUCCAAGGUUUUGGAUAUAACCAAGAUGAAACUACAGAUCACAAAUUUUACCAACUGGAAUAAAAAACGUUUGGUCUACCAGGACCCACUCAAGAGAAUCUCCUCCAAAACUGGUGCUUUGUUUCCAGGCAUGAAGCAGUUUGAGAGUUACUCGCCAUUCAUCUUUAUUAG